CCUGGCUCAGGACGAACGCUGGCGGCGUGCCUAACACAUGUAAGUCGAACGGGACUGGAGGGGCAACUCUUCAGUUCAGUGGCAGACGGGUGCGUAACACGUGAGAAACCUGUCCAUCGGUGGGGGAUAGCCGGCCCAACGGCCGGUUAAUACCGCGUACGAUCAUUUAGGGGCAUCUCUGAAUGAUGAAAGCCUCGCAAGAGGCGCCGGCGGAGGGUCUCGCGGCCUAUCAGCUAGUUGGCGGGGUAACGGCCCACCAAGGCGACGACGGGUAGCUGGUCUGAGAGGAUGGCCAGCCACAUUGGGACUGAGACACGGCCCAGACUCCUACGGGAGGCAGCAGUGGGGAAUCUUGCGCAAUGGCCGCAAGGCUGACGCAGCGACGCCGCGUGUGGGAUGACGGCCUUCGGGUUGUAAACCACUGUCGGGAGGAACGAAUACGCGAUGAUGAAUCGCGGGUGACGGUACCUCCAAAGGAAGCACCGGCUAACUCCGUGCCAGCAGCCGCGGUAAUACGGAGGGUGCGAGCGUUGUCCGGAAUCACUGGGCGUAAAGGGCGCGUAGGCGGCCCGUUAAGUGGCUGGUGAAAUCCCGCGGCUCAACUGCGGGGCUGCCGG
rnacentral:rRNA from 1 species